GAGGGGANUGAAAAUCCCCUC
rnacentral:misc_RNA from 1 species